rnacentral:rRNA from 1 species
AUUAUACAAAUCCACACACACGAACCACCCCCUGACAUCUCACUGAGCCACUCUAUUUUAAACAAUAGAAGAACUAAUGCUAAAACUAGUAAUAAGAACACAUUCUCCCCCACACACCCCUCAAUCAGAAAUAGAUAAACUACUGAAAAUUAACAAGCUAUAAAAAAGAAGCAAACAACACAACAAGAAAACAUUUACACAAUUUGUGACCCCAACACAGGAGUGUUUUAAGGACCGAUUAAAAGCCCAACAAGGAAUUCAGCUAAUAGACUCCAACUGUUUACCAAAAACAUAGCCUUUAGCAUCACAAGUAUUAAAGGUCUCGCCUGCCCAGUGAUUCUUUCAACGGCCGCGGUAUCCUAACCGUGCAAAGGUAGCGUAAUCAUUUGUCUCCUAAAUAGAGACUUGUAUGAACGGCUAACUGAGGGUCUAACUGUCUCCUAAGGCCAAUCAAUGAAACUGAUCUCCCAGUACAAAAGCUGAGAUACGCACAUAAGACGAGAAGACCCUGUGGAGCUUAAAACAAGCACUAUUUUUUCAACACAUAAACUACGGAAACAAAACUUACAAAACAUAGUGAAACUUUUUAGUUGGGGCGACUUUGGAACAAAAAAAAACUUCCAUGAUAAGGGCAACACCCUAUCAAGGCCCACAAGCCUAAAUAACUUUUUUUGACCCAGACAUCUGAUCAAC